AAAUCCGUUGAUUUUCAAAAUCAUGAGGGUUCAAGUCCCUCUAUCCCCAA
rnacentral:tRNA from 1 species